rnacentral:lncRNA from 10 species
CUGGAAAAGAUGCCACCAGCACCGCCCCACAAGCUGCAGACGUGGGAGCCCUGAUGUGGCCUAUUUAUUAUUUAUUCAACUUUGACACCACAUUAAGCAACCUCCUGAGGGAAGUGCAAUUGGAUUCACAUGAAUUAAAGCACACACAGGGGCGAGACCACAUUUUGGCAGCUCCUAAAAUGACAGAGUGACGUCGCAGUGUAAGCAGAGGCCGGCUUCCAAAUGAAACAUAAAGAAGCUCUUCUAUAAAAAGCGAGAACUCGGCGAAACCUCGGCCAGUCAGAAGGAGAGGCCUCUGCAGACACGGAGCACACGUGUGUUAUCAAGCGGGGCUGAGGAGUCUUCAGCUGAACCGUGCACCUGAAGAUGCCCAUGACUCCAUGAUCAGAUAGAAACUAUUGAGCUUGGCACCUGGGGCUCUGGAAAUCCAGACACUAAGUUGUGAUCCUGGCACCACUUCCCUGGAAACCCGUAUCUGGACAUGCCCACAUCCUUCCGGCUUUGUGCCUCUUGUCUGGAUUUCUUGGGACAGACACAGCAAAGCCUCACGUGUUCUGAGAAGUGACCUGGCCUUCCACUGACAUUCUUGGCUGAAGUUUUCAACUCAAGAUGGUCACCCUGCUUAUCACACAGAACCAGAUGCUUCAGCACCUUGGAGAGCUCCACAAGACCCACAGACCCGGGCCCCCCAACCACAAGAAAUAUAAUAAAAUACUGCUUUGAGACUCAAUUUCAGCACUUAGCUACAUAAAUAAAAGUUCCAGGAAGACUAAAUCUUAGAACCAACAGGGAGAUGAGCACUUCCAGAGUUUCAUCAGCUUCCAAAUGAUAUUUAAAUAUGAGAACGUGAGGCCUGGCUGGGCCUGUGGUGAAAUCUCCAUAACAGCAUCCUUGUAAUAAAUGCUGAAAUUCAUGCAACCAUGGCCUGCCCCCUUCACGGAUCGCAAUUCAUAAUUGUUGCUGAUUGUCACAAACCAUAGGGCUCUGAACCAAAAUCCAAUGGAGCCCGUGCAUGUGUGUGCAUGAGUGUGUGCACCUGUGUGUGUGCAUGUAUGAAGGUGUGCACUCGUGUGUGUGUGUAUGCGUGUAUGUGUGCAUACAGGUGUGUUAGCAUAUGUGUUUGCGACUAAUUUUUAGACAUGUGUCUCGGCUCUUUCUCCAGCUGGGAAUUUCAAAUGACUUGUGAGAAAAUCUGUAAGGUUAAACAUGUGGAUUUUGGAAGAUGAGAACAAAGAACGAAUACUGAUACAUUUUGGCUUAUUAUUUUGACAGUUUUGAAUUCCCACAGUAGUCUUACAACCAAAUCUUGUGAAAGUGUUUAUUCCGUUCCGUUGACCAGAAUGAGUAACAAACCUGAGAAAUGCUUUUGUGUCGUACAUUGUGUAGUGCAUUGUUAAGGCCCUCAGGUUAGCAAAAGCUGUCCUCAGCUGUGGAGCUGACUGCAGUGUGUCACUGACAUUAGCAACUGGACUUCAUUUGAUGAGCAGGCUGAACCUCUGGACAUUAAAAAGAGUAUUCACGGCCGGGCGCGGUGGCUCAAACCUGUAAUCCCAGCAUUUUGGGAGGCCGAGG